CCCUUAGAUGUUCUGGGCCGCACGCGUGCUACACUGAUGCAUUCAACGAGUCUAAAACCUGCUCUGAUAGGGGUGGGUAAUCUUUUGAAUGUGCAUCGUGAUUGGGAUAGAUGAUUGCAAUUUUUCAUCUUCAACGAGGAAUGCCUAGUAAACGCAAGUCAUCAGCUUGCAUUGAUUACGUCCCUGCCCUUUGUACACACCGCCCGUCGCUCCUACCGAUUGAAUGAUCCGAUGAAUAUCAUGGAUUGAGGAUUAUAGCAGGUUCGCCUGUCUUGAUCUUCGAGAAGUGAAGUAAAUCUUAUCAUUUAGAGGAAGGAGAAGUCGUAACA
rnacentral:rRNA from 1 species